AACGAACGCUGGCGGCAGGCCUAACACAUGCAAGUCGAACGUGAAGCCACCUUCGGGUGGUGGAAAGUGGCAGACGGGUGAGUAACGCGUGGGAACGUGCCUUUCGGUUCGGAAUAACCCAGGGAAACUUGGGCUAAUACCGGAUACGCCCUAUGGGGGAAAGAUUCAUUGCCGAAAGAUCGGCCCGCGGCGGAUUAGCUAGUUGGUGGGGUAAUGGCCUACCAAGGCGACGAUCCGUAGCUGGUCUGAGAGGAUGAUCAGCCACACUGGGACUGAGACACGGCCCAGACUCCUACGGGAGGCAGCAGUGGGGAAUAUUGCACAAUGGGCGAAAGCCUGAUGCAGCCAUGCCGCGUGGGUGAAGAAGGCCCUAGGGUUGUAAACCCCUUUCAGCGGGGAAGAUAAUGACGGUACCCGCAGAAGAAGUCCCGGCUAACUCCGUGCCAGCAGCCGCCGUAAAAC
rnacentral:rRNA from 1 species